GACGAACGCUGGCGGCGUGCCUAAUACAUGCAAGUUGAGCGCUGAAGGUUGGUACUUGUACCAACUGGAUGAGCAGCGAACGGGUGAGUAACGCGUGGGGAAUCUGCCUUUGAGCGGGGGACAACAUUUGGAAACGAAUGCUAAUACCGCAUAAAAACUUUAAACACAAGUUUUAAGUUUGAAAGAUGCAAUUGCAUCACUCAAAGAUGAUCCCGCGUUGUAUUAGCUAGUUGGUGAGGUAAAGGCUCACCAAGGCGAUGAUACAUAGCCGACCUGAGAGGGUGAUCGGCCACAUUGGGACUGAGACACGGCCCAAACUCCUACGGGAGGCAGCAGUAGGGAAUCUUCGGCAAUGGACGAAAGUCUGACCGAGCAACGCCGCGUGAGUGAAGAAGGUUUUCGGAUCGUAAAACUCUGUUGGUAGAGAAGAACGUUGGUGAGAGUGGAAAGCUCAUCAAGUGACGGUAACUACCAGAAAGGGACGGCUAACUACGUG
rnacentral:rRNA from 1 species